GGGAUGGGGUCGCGGCCCAUCAGGUAGACGGCGGGGCAGAGGCCCACCGUGCCGACGACGGGUAGCCGGGUUGAGAGACCGACCGGCCACAUUGGGACUGAGAUACGGCCCAGACUCCUACGGGAGGCAGCAGUGGGGAAUUUUGCGCAAUGGGGGCAACCCUGACGCAGCAACGCCGCGUGCGGGACGAAGGCGUCCGCGUCGUAAACCGCUUUCAGCGGGGAACACCUAAACGAGGGUACCCGCAGAAGAAGCCCCGGCUAAAUACGUGCCAGCAGCCGCGGUAAUACGUAUGGGGCGAGCGUUAUCCGGAUUCAUUGGGCGUAAAGCGCGCGUAGGCGGAGCGCUAAGCGGGACCUCUAACCCGAGGGCUCAACCCCCGGCCGGGUCCCGAACUGGCGCUCUCGAGUGCGGUAGGGGAGAGCGGAAUUCCCGGUGUAGCGGUGGAAUGCGCAGAUAUCGGGAAGAACACCGACGGCGAAGGCAGCUCUCUGGGCCGAAACUGACGCUGAGGCGCGAAAGCUGGGGGAGCGAACAGGAUUAGAUACCCUGGUAGUCCCAGCCGUAAACGAUGGGCGCUAGGUGUGGGGGAUGAGAUCCCCCGUGCCGCAGCCAACGCAUUAAGCGCCCCGCCUGGGGAGUACGGCCGCAAGGCUAAAACUCAAAGGAAUUGACGGGGGCCCGCACAAGCAGCGGAGCAUGUGGCUUAAUU
rnacentral:rRNA from 1 species